CACCAGUGUUAAAUUUUCAGGGAUGGUGUUAAAUACACAGUGUUGAUGCUGUUUUAACACUAUCUGGUAAUAAAAUAACACUGCCAUUGCUAGGCCAGUGUUAUAUUCACGACAGUGUCAGUGUAAAACAAGGGUGUUAUGAGAUUUCACUCUGAGCGGUGUAAAUCAAGCCACGCCUCCACUAAACAUAUCCUGUCAGGGAUUUUACCGCCAUUUUCUUUCACCGGAGGACUGAAGAGAUCAGAUGCUAGUUUGGUGAAAGUUCACACUGAGUGCUUCAAAUCAUUCAGAAGAGAUGCUGUUUUUAGGGCAGUUUAUUAAAGAAGACCUGACAUGGAUGACUUCCAAUGAGAAACGACUGCUAAUACUUAUAUAAAUUCAUUACAGAAGGACCCUACCAGACUAUAUUUGAAUACGGCAUACAUGAAUUCUGGAACUGUUAUUCCUUAACCCAGUUUGGAGGAUAAGAGCUUACCAACUAGUUAUAAAUAUGCUGAGGUGAUGUAUUGCAAAAUAGCCAACAUACAACAAUAUGGAUGACCCUCUGUCUGGUCAACAGGAGUUUAAAUAUGGACGGGACAGUGAUGUGGCAGCUCUUCCCUGGCUCAUUCACCUCUUGCCUUCAUUUGUGAAAGGAAGAAAGACUGGAGAGGGUCAAUGUGCAACUGAAGCUACUGAUUGUGCUAUGUGAUGAGCAUCAAUCCAUGCUUUGAGGGGGAUGAAUCAGCACAGCCCUGCCUGCACUGCGUUGGGAACAGAAGUUGCAUCCAGAAUUUUUGCAUCAUUCUGGACCAAAAAGCCAUUCCCUCCAUGAUGAAGACCACUGAUGCAGCCUUCCACUACAUCAUGAGUAAAACAACUACAGAACUAAAUACCAGGUUGGAACGUAUUUAAGAAAAAUGAAACGUCUUUUGAAUUGAAAUGUCUGUUUUGUUAUGGAAAAAUCUUUAGUAUUGUGAAGGAUAAGCAUUUCUGCCUGCCAGUAAGGUAAUUGCAGUGUAUUUUAAUGUUCAAGUUUUGAGUAGGGUGGCAAAUUUUUUUUAAACUCUCAUUUGAUAUAUUAAAGCAACACUAUGUAGUUUCCAUGUAAAAAUGACUUACAGCUCCCCCAUGUGGUUGAAAAGUGCAACAGUGCCUGGUAUCAGAAACUCUUCUGCAGGCAGGGGGAGGGGCGGGGCUGUGUUUCCUACCCUCCACCACCACUUUCAGAGUGUGCUUGUAGCAGCUAGGAGGCUGCUCAGGUUGCAGCAACAGUACAAUUUGUCCAGUUAAAAGUUGUUCUAUCACUGAAAUAAUUUUAGAGACAUUAUUUAAAGGUAAAAAAACUACAUAGUGUUGCUUUAAAGACCUUAUAAUAAGUGGUUUUCAUGUCACUGCGCUGUGGUAUAAGAUAACUUUCAUUAUUCCAUACUGUAUUCUGUAUUCUAAUUGUAGCUGAGGUAUUUAAAUAAGCAGUGUUAAAUGCAAAGUGUUGUGUGUAUCAAUGUAAAUAUUAAAUGUGAUGUACUUUAAUAAAAAGAGGUU